rnacentral:rRNA from 1 species
AUGCGACACCUGCUCCUGGAGUGCGCUUUCGCCAAGCAAACCUGGCAUGAGAUCCUAGCUUGGCUAAGGAUGACAAUCGCAGGGCCAAAUCAGGAGGAGACUCUCAUGGACUGGUGGCUCCACGCCAAGCAAAACACGCCUACACCGAUGCGCAAGGGUCUCGCCUCCAUUGCCCUCCUGACGCCGUGGAUGAUUUGGAAGCAGCGCAACGAAUGCAUCUUCGACAAUGCCCAACCUCUUGUCCCAGUCCUGGUCUCUAGGAUCAAGGACGAGGCCGAGCAAUGGGCACGAGCUGGUGCUCGUGGCUUACGGGUCAUCUUACCCACCACCUGGGAUGUACACUAG